rnacentral:lncRNA from 1 species
CCCUGAGUCAUCCUAAACAUAGGGGUCAAAAGGGAUGAAUUAUACAAUAAUCAUAUUCACGUAGGUUCUGAAUAUUGCGAUUGUGACUAUUCGACCUAUCCGAAAUCGGGUACCAUUGCUAGAUGGUCACUUUGAUUAGUACAAGAAUUGGUUCCUGUGCUACCGGCUUAGGUUCGAACCUGCGGGGUCACACACAUUAGUGGUUCCUAUCAAAUCUGA